UAGUCCCUGUCUGAAGAGCUGCAACCGCGCGAUACCGUUUGAGUUCCCCUCGGAACAAUUUGACAAGUGGGUACCAGAGACAUCGGGCUGAAUUUGAGAGAGAUGUCACGACGGAAGUAUUUCAGAGAAGAGAACCACUGCCUGCUGUGUUUGCUCUUAAAUUCCCAUGAUACUAAAGAGAUUUCUGUCAGAGUAUAGGCAGAAGAGUGAGAUAUGGACAAUGCAGUUUGAUUACACCAUUCCACCAGUAGCCAUUAAAGACUGUGCGGUCAUUCAGUGAGACUUGGACACGCUGGGAGCUGGGCAAGGAGGAGCCAAAUGAGGUUCAGUGAGGAUAAGUGAGGAGUCCUGCACCUGGAAGAGCAUUCUAACUCACGAUGCACAGGUCUAGCUGCUGGUGUGUUUCCUGUCACUAAGCCUUCCCUUCGCUGUGGUGCCUGCGUCUGAAGCUUCGGAAUGGAGCUGUACAGGAGACACUGCACUGCAGAAGAACAAGGUACAAUAAAUUA